rnacentral:rRNA from 1 species
GACGAACGCUGGCGGCGUGCUUAACACAUGCAAGUCGAACGGAAAGGCCUCUUUCGGGGGUACUCGAGUGGCGAACGGGUGAGUAACACGUGAGUAACCUGCCCUUGACUUUGGGAUAACUUCAGGAAACUGGGGCUAAUACCGGAUAGGAGCUCCUGCUGCAUGGUGGGGGUUGGAAAGUUUCGGCGGUUGGGGAUGGACUCGCGGCUUAUCAGCUUGUUGGUGGGGUAGUGGCUUACCAAGGCUUUGACGGGUAGCCGGCCUGAGAGGGUGACCGGCCACAUUGGGACUGAGAUACGGCCCAGACUCCUACGGGAGGCAGCAGUGGGGAAUAUUGCACAAUGGGUGGAAGCCUGAUGCAGCAACGCCGUGUGCGGGAUGACGGCCUUCGGGUUGUAAACCGCUUUCGCUCAUGACGAAGCUUUGUGUGAGGGUAGUGGGUAAAGAAGCACCGGCUAACUACGUG